AGGACGAACGCUGGCGGCGUGCUUAACACAUGCAAGUCGAGCGAUGAAACUUCUUCGGAAGUGGAUUAGCGGCGGACGGGUGAGUAACACGUGGGUAACCUGCCUCAUAGAGGGGAAUAGCCUUCCGAAAGGAAGAUUAAUACCGCAUAAGAUUGUAGUACCGCAUGGUACAGCAAUUAAAGGAGCAAUCCGCUAUGAGAUGGACCCGCGUCGCAUUAGCUAGUUGGUGAGGUAACGGCUCACCAAGGCGACGAUGCGUAGCCGACCUGAGAGGGUGAUCGGCCACAUUGGGACUGAGACACGGCCCAGACUCCUACGGGAGGCAGCAGUGGGGAAUAUUGCACAAUGGGGGAAACCCUGAUGCAGCAACGCCGCGUGAGUGAUGACGGUCUUCGGAUUGUAAAGCUCUGUCUUUAGGGACGAUAAUGACGGUACCUAAGGAGGAAGCCACGGCUAACUACGUG
rnacentral:rRNA from 1 species